UCGCCCAUCCCUACUGCUGCAGUCAUUAGCGGGCGGUAUAUGAACUGCGGCUGCUACUGAUGCAUAAGUGCGCAUUGCGCAACAAUUAACGUGCACACAACAUAAUCCCAGAACAUGGCUUUAAAGAAGGAUCUCUUGCGAGACAUCCAGAAGCGUUUUAACAGCCUGAAAGUUGAAGAGGAUAAAGAAGAGACAGUAAUUCUGAGAGAACGUGAGGACAGUAUUGACAUCCGAUGUACAGGCUUUCCUGAUUUCUCAGAGGACUUCCGUCAGAUUGUUAAAGCUGGCUGGCUAGAGAAAACUCCUCCAAAAGGGUAAGAAACAACUUAUAUACAAUUUAUAUAUCUUCUACGACUUUUCUGACAU
ensembl:lncRNA